UGGGGAAUAUUGCGCAAUGGGGGGAACCCUGACGCAGCCAUGCCGCGUGAAUGAAGAAGGCCUUCGGGUUGUAAAGUUCUUUCGGUAUUGAGGAAGGUUGAUGUGUUAAUAGCACAUCAAAUUGACGUUAAAUACAGAAGAAGCACCGGCUAACUCCGUGCCAGCAGCCGCGGUAAUACGGAGGGUGCGAGCGUUAAUCGGAAUAACUGGGCGUAAAGGGCACGCAGGCGGUUAUUUAAGUGAGGUGUGAAAGCCCCGGGCUUAACCUGGGAAUUGCAUUUCAGACUGGGUAACUAGAGUACUUUAGGGAGGGGUAGAAUUCCACGUGUAGCGGUGAAAUGCGUAGAGAUGUGGAGGAAUACCGAAGGCGAAGGCAGCCCCUUGGGAAUGUACUGACGCUCAUGUGCGGAAGCGUGGGGAGCAAACAGGAUUAGAUACCCUGGUAGUCCACGCUGUAAACGCUGUCGAUUUGGGGGUUGGGGUUUAACUCUGGCGCCCGUAGCUAACGUGAUAAAUCGACCGCCUGGGGAGUACGGCCGCAAGGUUA
rnacentral:rRNA from 1 species